GACGAACGCUGGCGGCGUGCUUAACACAUGCAAGUCGAACGGAAAGGCCCUGCUUUUGUGGGGUGCUCGAGUGGCGAACGGGUGAGUAACACGUGAGUAACCUGCUCUUGACUUUGGGAUAACUUCAGGAAACUGGGGCUAAUACCGGAUAGGAGCUCCUGCUGCAUGGUGGGGGUUGGAAAGUUUCGGCGGUUGGGGAUGGACUCGCGGCUUAUCAGCUGGUUGGUGGGGUAGUGGCUUACCAAGGCUUUGACGGGUAGCCGGCCUGAGAGGGUGACCGGCCACAUUGGGACUGAGGUACGGCCCAGACUCCUACGGGAGGCAGCAGUGGGGAAUAUUGCACAAUGGGCGGAAGCCUGAUGCAGCAACGCCGCGUGCGGGAUGACGGCCUUCGGGUUGUAAACAGCUUUCGCCUGUGACGAAGCGUGAGUGACGGUAAUGGGUAAAGAAGCACCGGCUAACUACGUG
rnacentral:rRNA from 1 species